rnacentral:rRNA from 1 species
UACGGAGGGUCCAAGCGUUAUCCGGAAUCAUUGGGAUUAAAGGGUCCGUAGGCGGUUUUGUAAGUCAGUGGUGAAAGCCCAUCGCUCAACGGUGGAACGGCCAUUGAUACUGCAAGACUUGAAUUAUUGGGAAGUAACUAGAAUAUGUAGUGUAGCGGUGAAAUGCUUAGAGAUUACAUGGAAUACCAAUUGCGAAGGCAGGUUACUACCAAUAUAUUGACGCUGAUGGACGAAAGCGUGGGGAGCGAACAGG